CAGUCGCCGCGGUAAUACGUAGGUGGCAAGCGUUGUCCGGAAUUAUUGGGCGUAAAGGGCUCGCAGGCGGUUUCUUAAGUCUGAUGUGAAAGCCCCCGGCUCAACCGGGGAGGGUCAUUGGAAACUGGGAAACUUGAGUGCAGAAGAGGAGAGUGGAAUUCCACGUGUAGCGGUGAAAUGCGUAGAGAUGUGGAGGAACACCAGUGGCGAAGGCGACUCUCUGGUCUGUAACUGACGCUGAGGAGCGAAAGCGUGGGGAGCUAACAGGAUUAGAUACCCGAGUAGUCCCUGUCUCUUAUAU
rnacentral:rRNA from 1 species